GUGCUUGCCUGGGCAGCACAUAGACUAAAAUUGGAACAAUAUCAAGAAGAUCAGCAUGGCACCUGUGCAAAGAUGAGUUGCAUAAAUUCAUGAAUCGUUCAAUGUUUAU